UACGUAGGGGGCAAGCGUUGUCCGGAAUUAUUGGGCGUAAAGGGUGCGUAGGCGGUUUGGUAAGUCUUGUGUGAAAUCUACAGGCUCAACUUGUAGUCUGCACGAGAAACUGCCGGGCUUGAGUGUGGGAGAGGAAAGUGGAAUUCCUGGUGUAGCGGUGAAAUGCGUAGAUAUCAGGAGGAACACCGGUGGUGUAGACGGCUUUCUGGACCGUAACUGACGCUGAAACACGAAAGCGUGGGUAGCAAACAGG
rnacentral:rRNA from 1 species